CCUACGGGAGGCAGCAGUGAGGAAUAUUGGUCAAUGGGCGCGAGCCUGAACCAGCCAAGUCGCGUGAAGGAUGACUGCCCUACGGGUUGUAAACUUCUUUUAUAAGGGGAUAAAGUCCGUCACGUAUGCCUUUUUGUAUGUACGUUAUGAAUAAAGAACGGCUAACUCCGUGCCAUCAGCCGCGGUAAUACGGAGGAUCCGGGCGUUAUCCGGAUUUAUUUGGUUUAAAGGGAGCGUAGACGGGUUGUUAAGUCAGUUGUGAAAUGUCGUGGCUCAACCGUAAAAUUGCAACUGAUACUGGCAGGCUUGAGUGCAGUAGAGGUAGGCGGAAUUCGUGGUGUAGCGGUGAAAUGCUUAGAUAUCACGAAGAACUCCGAUUGCGAAGGCAGCCUACUGAAC
rnacentral:rRNA from 1 species